rnacentral:sRNA from 1 species
UAAGUAUAUGAUUGAGAGUCAAUACCUA